rnacentral:rRNA from 1 species
CGGUGUUUAACUGGCGUGAUGUGGGACGUCCUACCGGUGGGCUUAGCCUCGCGAGGGGCGGCCCAACUAAUAUCCCGUCGCGGUGCUCUUUACUGAGUGUCGAGUCGGGCCGGUACGUUUACUUUGAACAAAUUAGAGUGCUUAAAGCAGGCUAUCCUCGCCUGAAUACUGCGUGCAUGGAAUAAUGGAAUAGGACCUCGGUUCUAUUUUGUUGGUUUUCGGAACCCCGAGGUAAUGAUUAAUAGGGACAGAUGGGGGCAUUCGUAUUGCGACGUUAGAGGUGAAAUUCUUGGAUCGUCGCAAGACGGACAGAAGCGAAAGCAUUUGCCAAAAAUGUUUUCAUUAAUCAAGAACGAAAGUUAGAGGUUCGAAGGCGAUCAGAUACCGCCCUAGUUCUAACCAUAAACGAUGCCAGCUAGUGAUCCGCCGAAGUUCCUCCGAUGACUCGGCGGGCAGCUUCCGGGAAACCAAAGCUUUUGGGUUCCGGGGGAAGUAUGGUUGCAAAGCUGAAACUUAAAGGAAUUGACGGAAGGGCACCACCAGGAGUGGAGCCUGCGGCUUAAUUUGACUCAACACGGGAAACCUCACCAGGCCCAGACACCGGAAGGAUUGACAGAUUGAUAGCUCUUUCUUGAUUCGGUGGGUGGUGGUGCAUGGCCGUUCUUAGUUGGUGGAGCGAUUUGUCUGGUUAAUUCCGAUAACGAACGAGACUCUAGCCUGCUAAAUAGGCGUACCUUAUGGUAUCGCGAAGGCCCCCGGCUUCGGCCGGUGGGUUUUUACUACCAACGUACAAACAAAUCUUCUUAGAGGGACAGGCGG